AUUUUCAAUUCAAAUUAUUUGCUUUAUUAUAAAGCCUAAUAGGCAAAACAGUGUUUAGAUCAAAUUCUUCAUUCUAUCCAUUAUUAUUAUCCUUCUAUAUUCUCAUUUCAACAUGGCUAUGAGAUGUAAUUCUAUAAAGGACAUAACUCUACUCAAGGAGAAUUAGAGGAUCAAAGCAAGAGUGGUUCGAAUGUAGAGAAUGCCCAGAUUUAA
rnacentral:lncRNA from 1 species